rnacentral:lncRNA from 1 species
CUUAUCAAGUAGGACUCUAUUGGAUAGGAACAUCCAACUAAUUCAAUCCUACUAGAAGUACACUACCUACCUCUAUAAAUACAUGACCCAAAUCCAUUAUUCAAGUACGCUUUUACAUACAAUUUCAGUAGACGUUCUCAUAUUAAUUCUCUGUCUGACUUAAGCAUCGGAGGGGCGACGAGAACACACCUCGUUGCCUUUGUUUCAGGUACCAGAAGGCUCUGUUCGUGCUCUUUUUCAAUCCUCAAGUUCGGGAGGUCUACCAGGUACUUUUUUGGUAGCAUCAUUGUCAAUAGUUACACCAUUGAUCAAGCAAUCGAAAGCUUCCAGCUAAAACUAAUCUCCAAGCCAUAACAACCUUGCCUUUUUUUAAAUAAUACUUGGUCUUCAUUUCCUAACAAACAAACAUGCCCUCACUUUACAAUAUUUCAGUUUUUUUUUUUUUUUUUUUUUUUGAGAACUCAGAGAAGACUUCUUGCUGGGAAUCUUCGGAUGAAGGGAAAUUCUCUCAUGACUUGUAUCAUUAUCGUAUUUCAACAUAGAAACCAUGGAGUACCCGUGGCACAAUAACAAGGAAAUCGAAGUUAUCGAUCAGAUUUUCAUCGUCGGUGUUAUUCAUGCUACUUUUGCUCCGCUUCAGCACCACCGACGGCUUAUAGUCAACCAUGGCUCACACCAAAUUAUGAUUUUAUAGGAACUCGCAAGGGAACCCUCAACAGUGUCUUGUCUGGGUAUAUGAACUGGUGAGAACUACAGACCUGCUUACAGUGAAGCUCUUCUGACCAUUUUCGGACGUAGAUCGUUGAGAUAAAAUGAGAGUGGUGUAUAGAGAGGAUUGAUUUUGAAUGGGAGGAGGAUUUCUUAGGAAUGAUUUGGUGAGUUUUGAUUUCUCGAGAACGUUGGAGAAGGUGUGAUAGGAGUUUCAUUUUGCAUCUCUCUCUGUAAUAAAUUUGGAACCAAUAAUUGGGGGAUUACUGCGUGGAUUUGGGCGGGGUUUGGGUGAGAGAUAAUGGCUAAUUGGUGCAUGAUUUUUGCAUGUUUAAGGAUUGAUUGGGAAGAGUGAACAAUUUUAUAUUUUCAUUUGUACUGCAUAGAUUACAGUAUUUCCAGAAUAAAAAACUAUGAAAUGUAAAAAUGAUUUUUUUUUUUUUUUUUAAAUGUUGUGCUGCCAUUUCUAAACAUUCUUAAUAGUUUAAAAUAUUAUUUUUUGCUUUGUACUCAUCAAUCAUUUUCGAUGUUGUCUUUAUUAUUUAUAUAUCUUCGUGCUAACAUUAACUUGAUGUCUUUGUACAUUUAUAAGAGGCUUGGUUUGACUGAGAUGAAGACGACCACGAUAUCACUUCAAUUGAUGAAUAGAUCAAUUAAAUACCAUCGAGGUGCAUUGGAAGGUGUGCUUAUAAAAGUGGACGAUGUCAUAUUUCUAGUGGAUUUCAUUGUUCUAGAUAUUAAAGAAGAUCUAGAUCUACCAAUAAUUUUGGGUCGACUGUUCUUAGAAACUAGUUGGGUUUUAAUUGAACUUGGAGGUGUAAAAUGAAAGAGCUAUCUUCAACGUGUUCAAUUAAAAGCACUUGAGAAAUCAUCCAACUUUGAGGAACGCACUAUAACUGAAAUAGUAAAAAUACAUGAUGGUUAAAAGUACAAGCCAAGAGUGAAUUGAAGAUGAAAAUCUCAAACUGGGAGCGGAGAUUGGAGGUGAAGAGUCCAAGCCGAAACCAGCAGUAGAUAGACUUGUUGGAGCAAGAUUUGAUGAAAAAGGCAAAGGCAAAGUCAAGGUUUAGAAGGUGAAAGAAAGUCGUGCAAACCCAAGAAGUGCAAGCAAUGCAAAGAUUUAGCCUUCUUGAAGUGAUUAUUGCAAAAAAUAAAAUAAAAUAAUAAUAAAGUCAAUGACUUUAAAUAUGAAUGAAAGACAACACAUUCUCUAUCUCUUGUUUUAAUUUGACAUUUUGUAUUUGCAUUUAGAUUUUAGGAUUGCAUUAGAAUAAAGUUAGAGCACCAUGCACGUUUAGAGCUUUACCAUUUAUGUAAUUUUUUCAGUUUAGUUUUCUCAAUUCAACGUUCAAUUCUAAGUAUUAUGUUCGGAUUUAAUGUAACAAGAAGAGAGAAAUAGAACGAAGACUAG